AAGAGUUCUGUAGGCGGUGACAUAAGUUGAUAGUUAAAUCUUCGGCUACCGAAAGGCUGCUUUCAAUACUGUGUUGCUAGAGUCAGCUAGGGGACAGUGGAAUUCGUGGUGGAGCAGUGAAAUGCGUUGAUAUCACGAGGAACACCAAGGGAGAAGUCAACUGUCUGGGGCUGUACUGACGCUGAGAGACGAAAGCUAGGGGAGAGAAAAGGAUUAGAUACCCUUGUAUUCCUAGCUGUAAACGAUGCCUGCUAGAUACUUGGUUUUAUAACUGAGCGUCGAAGCUAACGCGUUAAGCAGGCCGCCUGGGGAGUACGGUCGCAAGGCUAAAACUCAAAGGAAUUGGCGGGGACCCGCACAAGCGGUGGAGCAUGCUCUUUAAUUGGUUGAUAACCCAAGAACCUCACCCAGACUUGACAUGUUUGUAGUAGGAAUCCGAAAGGUGACCGAUCCUGAAUUUAUUCGGGAAGCAUACACAGGUGUUGCAUGGCUGUCGUCAGCUCGUACCGUGAGGCGUACCCUUAAGUGGGUUAACGAGCGCAACCCCUACUGCUAGUUGUAUCACUCUAGCGGAACUGCCAUCGUAAGAUGGAGGAAGGUGGGGACGACGUCAAGUCGGUAUUGCCCUUAUGUCUGGGGCUAGAAGCAUGCUACAAUGGCGCGUACAGAGAGUUGCGAUACCGUGAGGUAAAGCUAAUCCCUAAAACGCGUCUCAGUUCGGAUUGAAGUCUGCAAUUCGACUUCAUGAAGUUGGAAUCGCUAGUAAUCGUCGGUCAGCAAAACGACGGUGAAUACGUUCUCGGGUCUUGCACACACUGCCCGUCACAUCAGCAAAGCUGAGGUCGCCUGAAGUACCUUUUUAUAGAGGUCCCAUGGUGAAAUCAGUAAUGAGGGUGAAGUCGUAACAAGGUAGCCGUAGGGGAAUCUGCGGCUG
rnacentral:rRNA from 1 species